AGAGUUUGAUCAUGGCUCAGAACGUACGCUGGCGGCACGCCUAACACAUGCAAGUCGAACGAAGUAGCAAUACUUAGUGGCAGACGGGUGAGUAACAUGUAGGUAUCUUCCCUUUGGCCUGGAAUAACACGAGGAAACUUGUGCUAAUACCGGAUAAGUCUUUACAGAGAAAGCUUUAUGCACCAUUGGAUGAGCCUGCACUUGAUUAGUUUGUUGGUAGGGUAAUGGCCUACCAAGACUGUGAUCAAUAGCUGAUUUGAGAGGAUGAUCAGCCACAUUGGGACUGAGACACGGCCCAAACUCCUACGGGAGGCAGCAGUGGGGAAUCUUGCACAAUGGAGGAAACUCUGAUGCAGCGAUGCCGCGUGAGUGAAGAAGGCCUUUGGGUUGUAAAGCUCUUUCGUCGGGGAAGAAAAUGACUGUACCCGAAUAAGAAGGUCCGGCUAACUUCGUGCCAGCAGCCGCGGUAAUAC
rnacentral:rRNA from 1 species